rnacentral:rRNA from 1 species
ACCCGCUGAACUUAAGCAUAUCAAUAAGCGGAGGAAAAGAAACCAACAGGGAUUGCCCCAGUAACGGCGAGUGAAGCGGCAACAGCUCAAAUUUGAAAUCUGGUUUCACGGCCCGAGUUGUAAUUUGCAGAGGAUGCUUUUGGCGCGGCGCCUUCCGAGUGCCCUGGAACGGGACGCCAUAGAGGGUGAGAGCCCCGUCUGGUUGGAUGCCUAGCCUCUGUAAAGCUCCUUCGACGAGUCGAGUAGUUUGGGAAUGCUGCUCAAAAUGGGAGGUAUAUGUCUUCUAAAGCUAAAUAUUGGCCAGAGACCGAUAGCGCACAAGUAGAGUGAUCGAAAGAUGAAAAGCACUUUGAAAAGAGGGUUAAAUAGUACGUGAAAUUGUUGAAAGGGAAGCGCUUGUGACCAGACUUGGGCUUGGUGAAUCAUCCGGCGUUCUCGCCGGUGCACUUUGCCUGUCCAGGCCAGCAUCAGUUCGCUCCGGGGGAUAAAGGCGUGGGGAAUGUGGCUCCUCCGGGAGUGUUAUAGCCCCGCGUGUAAUACCCUGUGGCGGACUGAGGUUCGCGCUCCGCAAGGAUGCUGGCGUAAUGGUCAUCAGCGACCCGUCUUGAAACACGG